UACGUAGGGUGCAAGCGUUAAUCGGAAUUACUGGGCGUAAAGCGUGCGCAGGCGGCUAUGCAAGACAGAUGUGAAAUCCCCGGGCUUAACCUGGGAACUGCAUUUGUGACUGCAUGGCUAGAGUGUGUCAGAGGGAGGUGGAAUUCCGCGUGUAGCAGUGAAAUGCGUAGAGAUGCGGAGGAACACCGAUGGCGAAGGCAGCCUCCUGGGAUAACACUGACGCUCAGGCACGAAAGCGUGGGGAGCAAACAGG
rnacentral:rRNA from 1 species